UACGAAGGGGGCUAGCGUUGCUCGGAAUCACUGGGCGUAAAGGGUGCGCAGGCGGUCGGGUGUGUCAGAUGUGAAAUCCCGAGGCUCAACCUCGGAACUGCGUCUGAAACUACUCGACUAGAGUACUGGAGAGGGUAACGGAAUUCACGGUGUAGCAGUGAAAUGCGUAGAUAUCUGGAGGAACACCGGUGGCGAAGGCGGCAUCCUGGACCGACACUGACGCUGAGGCGCGAAAGCUAGGGGAGCAAACGGGG
rnacentral:rRNA from 1 species